rnacentral:rRNA from 1 species
AUCUUGCACAAUGGGGGAAACCCUGAUGCAGCGACGCCGCUUGGGCGAGGAAGGCCUUCGGGUCGUAAAGCCCUUUUCUGGGUGACGAGGAAGGACGGUGGCCUAGGCAGAAGUCUCGGCUAACUACGUCCCAGCAGCCGCGGCAAAACGCAGGAGGACAGCGUUAUCCGGAGUUACUGGGCGUAAAGCGCGCGCAGGCGGUUAGGCAAGUUGGGUGUGAAAGCUCCCGGCUAAACCCGGAGGGCGCAUUCAAGACUGGCUGGCUAGAGGACGGUAGAGGGGCACAGGAGUCGGGGGGUAGCGGUGAAAAGUGUAGAGAUCCCGAGGGAUACCAGUGGGGAAGCCGGGGCCCUUGGGCGAACCAGACGCUGGGGGACGACAGCGUGGGGAGCGAACGGG